rnacentral:lncRNA from 7 species
AGAAUUGCAAGGCUGUGAGCAAGAAUUGACUGUAUUUCAUGGUUUCCAGAGAGGAUCAAGCAUAGACUGCAAUUGAUGGAAAAUGUAUGUUAAGCCUCAUCAUCAGACCUCUAAAGGAGAUUCCAUGUCCACUCCAGUUUUGAUACACGAACAUAGUCUAUAGAAGUGUCUUCAGCUCUUUCAAAAUGUAUUUUUUUUUUCUCCAUCUACUGUGUCUCAUUACUUCUCCAACUUCUCUGUGAGAGAGCUCAGAAUAAGAAGAAAAUACUUUUAAGUAUGGCAAAUUCAGGUAAUACUGUGAUUUCUCUGGGGGUUGACUAUGAUCAGAUGCCAGAAAAUAUACCAAAUGUAUUUUUAAGGAAGAAGUAGGAAAUACCCCUGCCAAAUUUAAGGAUGACAUCAAACCAGUGCCAUACAGAAGGUCCUGAACAGACUGAAUGAAUGAACCUUGUGAAACCAAGCAAUUUCAAAUGCCAAGUGCUCGAAGGAAGAAGCCCCUGCAAUGGUAUGGGCUGGGGACUAAUAUAUGUGGACUGGCCCUGUCAAGUUAGCUCUGGGGCCUAGUGGCAACAAGUUACUCCUCAGCUAGCAAAAGUGGCCAGUAUCUCCCUGGGCUAUGUGAGCAGAAGAAUGGGCAGAUUUUUUUAUUUUCUCUUCUUUUUCGCUAAUAUACUGACAAAUUUUACCUAUGUUAAGAUUAUCACCUCCUCUUUUCUGCCGAAUAGAUCACAAGAAAUGCUUAGAUGUGAGAAUUUAUAUCCAUGUUUUUGUGUUGUUCCAUUUUCUCUAUAUGUCUUGACUUCCAUUUGUUGCCCACUGACAUCCUGUAAAAUUAAAAAAUGUGGAAGACUGUUUUUUGAUCAU